AAGUAAAAGCCAUUUGCUAUCAAUAAUAUUGAGCUUGAGUGCAAGGACUUUUGAUUAUUUUUGUAUAUAUAUAUAUUUAUAUAUAUAUAUAUUUUAAUUGGUGUAGCCCCCAAAAUAUUGGGACAUAUAAAAAAAAAAAGACAACUCUCUUCCGCAGAGUAGCUGUUGACAUUAUAGUUGCGCAGGCCCUUUGUUGACUCUAGAGAAUCUCGGGCCAAUCGCACAUCCCUGUGGCGGCGACUUUGCAUGCAGAUGUCAUCCAUUUUAAUUUUCGAUGCCAGUUUCUGCAGCUACAAUGGUGGCCUCCAUUCCGUACAGGGACCCUGAGAAACGGCCGCCACAUGCAAGGAAGGCAGCAGGCGCACAAAUGACCCACUACCGACGCGGGAAGGUAGUGACGACAAAUAACAAUACAGGACUCUUUAGAGGCCCUGUAAUUGUAAUGAGUCCACUUGAAAUCCUUUAACUCUGAUCAAUUGGAGGGAAGUCUGGUGCACAGCCACUGACCCGUGCGUGCUGCAGCUGAAACUCCACU